rnacentral:tRNA from 1 species
GGCCGGUUAGCUCAGCUGGUUCGAGCAUGGUGCUUUUAACACCAAAGUCACGGGUUCGAUCCUCGUUCAGUCCC